UUUUCCCUACGGGAGGCAGCAGUGAGGAAUAUUGGUCAAUGGGCGCGAGCCUGAACCAGCCAAGCCGCGUGAGGGAUGAAGGUACAGAGUAUCGUAAACCUCUUUUGUCAGGGAACAAAGGCGGGGACGUGUCCCCGGAUGAGUGUACCUGAAGAAAAAGCAUCGGCUAACUCCGUGCCAGCAGCCGCGGUAAUACGGAGGAUGCGAGCGUUAUCCGGAUUUAUUGGGUUUAAAGGGUGCGCAGGCGGUCUGUUAAGUCGGCGGUCAAAGCCCGGGGCUCCACCCCGGCCCGCCGUUGAAACUGG
rnacentral:rRNA from 1 species